AACGAACGCUGGCGGCAUGCCUAACACAUGCAAGUCGAACGAUGGCUUCGGCUAUAGUGGCGCACGGGUGAGUAACACGUGGGAACCUGCCUUUCGGUUCGGAAUAACGUUUGGAAACGAACGCUAACACCGGAUACGCCCUUCGGGGGAAAGUUUACGCCGAGAGAGGGGCCCGCGUCCGAUUAGGUAGUUGGUGGGGUAACGGCCUACCAAGCCGACGAUCGGUAGCUGGUCUGAGAGGAUGAUCAGCCACACUGGGACUGAGACACGGCCCAGACUCCUACGGGAGGCAGCAGUGGGGAAUAUUGGACAGUGGGCGCAAGCCUGAUCCAGCAAUGCCGCGUGAGUGAUGAAGGCCUUAGGGUUGUAAAGCUCUUUCGCACGCGACGAUGAUGACGGUAGCGUGAGAAGAAGCCCCGGCUAACUUCGUGCCAGCAGCCGCCGCCGUAA
rnacentral:rRNA from 1 species